rnacentral:rRNA from 1 species
GACGAACGCUGGCGGCGUGCUUAACACAUGCAAGUCGAACGGAAAGGCCCUGCUUUUGUGGGGUGCUCGAGUGGCGAACGGGUGAGUAACACGUGAGUAACCUGCCCCUGACUUUGGGAUAACUUCUGGAAACUGGGGCUAAUACCGGAUAGGAGCUCCUGCUGCAUGGUGGGGGUUGGAAAAUUUCGGCGGUUGGGGAUGGACUCGCGGCUUAUCAGCUUGUUGGUGGGGUAGUGGCUUACCAAGGCUUCGACGGGUAGCCGGCCUGAGAGGGUGACCGGCCACAUUGGGACUGAGAUACGGCCCAGACUCCUACGGGAGGCAGCAGUGGGGAAUAUUGCACAAUGGGCGGAAGCCUGAUGCAGCAACGCCGCGUGCGGGAUGACGGCCUUCGGGUUGUAAACCGCUUUCGCCUGUGACGAAGCGUGAGUGACGGUAAUGGGUAAAGAAGCACCGGCUAACUACGUG